CCUACGGGAGGCAGCAGUGAGGAAUAUUGGUCAAUGGACGAGAGUCUGAACCAGCCAAGUAGCGUGAAGGAUGACUGCCCUAUGGGUUGUAAACUUCUUUUAUAUGGGAAUAAAAUGUUCCACGUGUGGGAUUUUGUAUGUACCAUAUGAAUAAGGAUCGGCUAACUCCGUGCCAGCAGCCGCGGUAAUACGGAGGAUCCGAGCGUUAUCCGGAUUUUUUGGGUUUAAAGGGAGCGUAGGUGGAUUGUUAAGUCAGUUGUGAAAGUUUGCGGCUCAACCGUAAAAUUGCAGUUGAAACUGGCAGGCGUGAGUACAGUAGAGGUGGGCGGAAUUCGUGGUGUAGCGGUGAAAUGCUUAGAGAUCACGAAGAACUCCGAUUGCGAAGGCAGCUCACUGGACUGCAACUGACACUGAGGCUCGAAAGUGUGGGUAUCAAACAGGAUUAGAUACCCCUGUAGUC
rnacentral:rRNA from 1 species